rnacentral:misc_RNA from 1 species
UUUCCCGAGGCAACUCGGUUUGGGGGACUGCUGUGCAUCACUGCCGGCUUCCCCUGGAUUUUUGGGCCUAUGUUUUCACAUACACCAUAAGAAUGUAAUAGAAUGUUAUAUUGGGCUUUGUUGCCUAUAAACUAUAUACAACUUUCAGCAACGGAUCUCUUGGCUCUCGCAUCGAUGAAGAACGCAGCGAAAUGCGAUAAGUAAUGUGAAUUGCAGAAUUCAGUGAAUCAUCGAAUCUUUGAACGCACCUUGCGCUCCUUGGUAUUCCGAGGAGCAUGCCUGUUUGAGUGUCAUUAAAUUCUCAACCUUAUCAGCUUUUGUUGAUAAUGGCUUGGAUGUGGGGGUUUAUUUGCUGGCUUCUUAAUGAUAUCAGCUCCCCUUAAAUGCAUUAGCUGGUUGCCUUGUGCAGACUUGUCUAUUGGUGUGAUAAUUAUCUACGCCGUGGACUGACUUGCCAGUAUUAGCACCGCUUCUAACUGUCUGUUUACUCAGACAAUAUAUAU